rnacentral:rRNA from 1 species
AAGCGGAGGAAAAGAAACCAACCGGGAUUGCCUUAGUAACGGCGAGUGAAGCGGCAAAAGCUCAAAUUUGAAAUCUGGCGUCUUCGACGUCCGAGUUGUAAUUUGAAGAAGGCAACUUUGUAGCUGGUGCCUUGUCUAUGUUCCUUGGAACAGGACGUCAUAGAGGGUGAGAAUNCCCGUGUGGCGAGGAUCCCAGUAUU